rnacentral:misc_RNA from 1 species
GGAAGUAAAAGUUGUAACAAGGUUUCCGUAGGUGAACCUGCGGAAGGAUCAUUAUUGUAUAACCGAGGUGCGAGGGCUGUCGCUGACCCGAAAGGUCGUGCACGCCCGAGUGCCCUCACACACAUCCAUCUCACCCCUAUGUGCACCACCGCGUGGGUCCCCCUUUGGCUUGUUCGGAGGGGGGCUUACGUUUUCACACAAACUUUGUAUGCAGUGUAGAAUGUAUUUUUUGCUUUUGCGAUCACGCAAUCAAUACAACUUUCAACAACGGAUCUCUUGGCUCUC